CGAUCAGUGGCAUCCCCGCAUUCGCCCAUAAAGUCAGUGCGGGGCGAGUCGUGUUGCUAGAUGAACCUAUAUCACUUAGCUCAGCGCAUCAAAUAAUUUUUGUUAAUAUUACCGUACGAAUAUUCAAAUUUUGGCAGCUUUAGUGUACAAUAGUAUUGUGACGUAUAGGUAGUAGGUACUUAGUUAGUAUAUUAUUUUAUUAGUGGUAUUCAAAAAUAGACAAAUUAGUUUACUCGAAAUGGGAAGUAAACAGAGGCGGAAGAAACGUGGUCUGAAAAAACUAUUCAAACUUAGGGGUUACAAAUAAGCAAAUCCAAUAAUCGUUCGAAUAGUUUAAAUAUAGAGGAAAAUUCUGAAAAUGUUAACCGAGAAGUAGACCACGACAAAUGUGCUUUAGAUAAACAAGUCGGUGAGAAAAUCGCAAAGAAUACUUCACUAUCUCUGUCGACCCCCAUACGCGACGAGUGCCCUAGUGAACAAAUCGAAGAUAGUUCUACUCUCUACGAAACAGAAAAAGCUAAGUCUUCUCCUGAAGCGUGUCAACUUGAAGGACGACGAAUCCUCAACCUAAAAACAUUUUACACAAAACUCCAAGAAAUAGCAAUAUAGCAAGAAAUAGAAAUAGCAAAUAGAAGAAAAUGAAAAUGUUCGACCGCCCAAACGAAGAAAAAUAUUGUAUGAAAAGAAAUUAAAUUUUAGUGAAUUUUAAAUCGUUAUCACUAUAAACAAUUCGAUUAUAAUAUCUUAAUACAUAAAUAAAUUAAAUAAAUUCGUUUAAAUAAAACUGUUUAAAACUAGUAGGUACCUCUAUUAAUUUUAUAUCUGUCUAUAAAACCACUGUUGUUGCUGUCCCUUAUUGUAUUUUAUUCUUUGAAUAAGUAGAUAUCUUAUAGUAACAAAAUAUUAAACCAUAGAUAAAUAAAAUAUUUUACAGAUUUGUCUCAUAAUUGUAUGAAUUACUUAUAAAAUUUACAAAUGUGCAAAAUCGCGAGUACAAUCGCAGGACGAAUAUCGACAGAUAAUUAGUAAAGAAUUUAGAUAAUUUAUUAUAAUACUUAAACUACUCUGUAAAUUUUCAACUCAGUGUCAUUAGCAUAAGCGGCCCGUGACUGAUACGCGGUCAGCGCGGGCGGCCGCGCAUUACGAUCUUUUGGUGCGGGGGUGCGGUGAAGCGCGGGAAGAAGUUUCUAGCUCCGCCCCAUUCUUCAAGGCCAUUGGCUUCAUCUCAA